UAGUACAUUUGUUUGCUAUUUUUUUCUUCAAAAGAUGUUUCAGGAACUGGGAACUGAUGGCAUCACUGCAGAGUGAAGAGGAAAACAAUCACUUUCCCUCCACGAACACACUGCUGCCUUUCUAUGCAACUCCAGAUAUCAGCACAGAUAGGAUUUGAGACAAUAAGCAGCUCCACAUGUGAACUUUCUAUAUAAAUGUUGUGUUGUGUGUGUACAAUUAUUUGUGCUAUUCUGCCUUUGAGUCCAGUGGGGCUUCAGAUCUUGAUGAUCAACAAGCAUUAUGAGACUGAUUUUAGGAGAGGGGCAGGGAUUGGUUUAGACUCCAUAUUGGUGUCCUGACAGGUCCACACUAGCAAUGUUCGGAAGUGAUGGCCAGGCCAUUCUGAACUGGAAACCUCCAAGGAAGCUCUCAAUGUAUGUGCCAAAACCUGCUUAUCCCUAAAGUAGUCUUAUAAUGUACAGCAAUUGAAAUAAACACAUUUCAUGCCAACUGCCUGCUUGUGCCAUACAAGCAUUAAUUUGUCAACCUAAGUGAUAAAAUUAGAAAGCUAAAAAUUAUGUAUUAUUUCUUUCAUUACAAAAAGUUCUUUGUGGUAAUCUCCCCUUCCCCCCUCUAUUUUUGUGCCAGUUUUACACUAAUUUACAUUUUCUUGUCAUAAUUCCAUUUUUAAUAGAGACAGGCCUUUUCAAAAGAUACUAGUCACUGUAUCAAUGUAAAUGAAUAAGUUGAAAUAUUAGGUUUCCCUUCUGCUAAUGAAACAUUAUAUAAGGCCAAAAAUAUCUGAAGAAAAUUGAUGGAGGGCAAAAUCUUCUAACCUAUUCUCUUGCAAUCCUUGUUGUGCUUUGUGGGAAGCUGUGGAGGUUAAUGGAGAACUCUUACCCACUGGCAAAUAAACUAAUAAAAUCACCAUAAAGAAAUUAACUGCAACUAUGCCCCCCCCCCCAAAAGCAUGAUGUGAUUACAAUAAGGGUGUGCAUAGGAAAAGCAAUCAAAUAUCUCAUUUGAUUUUUGCAAUUUAAUGACUUUAGUCACAGCAGAUGGGGCACAGGGAGGAUCAAAAUAGAAAGUAUGCUGGACAGCCAUAGGCUCUUGUCACUUUUAGUAAUACGCUAUUAAUCAGCAUAGUGUCAUAGCUAAAGAGACCUUUAAGUUGAGCUUAUCUCCUGCUGACUGCACCUAUAUCGUUUUCUUGAUGGUGCUAUGGAUAUAAUUUACCACUGCUUUCUUCCAGGAAGGUUUUUCAACUUUCCAGUCUGGCCUAUCCUCUGAAAUCGCCUUAUGUAGCUGCUCAGGUGCUAGCUAGGACCAACCCCCUUGCCUUCUAAGAUCAGCCCAGGUCACCAUGGCAUUGCCACUUGCUCCAGCAGGGUGGUGGUUAAAGUGUUGGAAUUAGACCAGGGAGACUCAGGUUUGAGUUCCUGUUAAGCCUAUCUCUCAGGCUAGGAUUUUCUCACAAGGUUAUUGCAAGGAUCAAAUUAGGCGAGCCUAGUUAAAUCUUUAAGACUCAUCACAACUCUUUACAAAGUACUUGGGGUGCUCCUUUGGAUGAAGGUUAAUUGGGAAUGAGAGAGAAAAGGGUCAGAAAUAUUAUUUCCCAUAUAGUGGUUCUAUCUGAACUGAGCUUUUGUAAUUUGGAAGUGAUAUGGGAGAGAGGAAGUUGAAAAUGAAGCAGUGAAAAAGGAAGAUGUAACCCUCCUUAACCUGUGUGCUGCACUACUUAUCUUGAUCUUGCCUGCUGACUUGAGAAUAAGUGAAAAGAAGCACAGCAGCAACAUACUGUAAUUAAUUCUACAUGUAGUUUCUCUUUUAGCCAUUGGGAGUCAUUGUAGUCCUCAGGACGCACCCACAAUGUAUAACUUCCCAAGCAGAAGAAUCCUAUUUGGGUGAAAAUAAUCAGAACUGCUGCUGUUUAUAGCAGGAGAUGGAUCAGCACAACUGUUCUAACAUCUGUACACUCCCUAUAAUUAGCUACAUAAAUUGCUGAAAAUGUGAAGGAACAUUGAAAUUGCUGUAGGAUUGCUUAUAUAAAUUAAGGUGCAGGAACUGUGGCUGCCCCGAUGUUGCUGAACUAUAGCUGUCACUAGCCAUGCUGGCUGGGGCUUCUGGGAAUUGUAGUUCUUCAACAUCUGGAGGCCUAUAGGUUUCCACCUCUGCUAGAGACACAGUGUUAGGAUUUUACCUAUUAAACUUGAAAUCCACCACCCACCCACCCACCAGCUUCUAGACUAGUCUCCUUUUGGAGGGAUGUGUACUAGCCUUUUUUUGAGUGAAGGUUUAAUCAGCAACCCCAUUACCUGUAAUGACUACACCUUGUGUUAUUUAUUUAUCCCCUCCCCCAGUGCCUUUGUAUCAUGUAAAAGCUGCUAGAAAUCUCAGUGUACUUAAAAAAAACAACUUUUCUAUCCA